GCAUGUGGUUUAAUUCGAUGAUACGACGAGGAACCUUACCUGGGCUCAAAUGUAUGUUGACGUAUUCUGAAAGGGAUACUUCUUCGGACAAUAUACAAGGUGCUGCAUGGUUGUCGUCAGCUCGUGCCGUGAGGUGUCGGGUUAAGUCCCGCAACGAGCGCAACCCCUGCUGCCAGUUGCCAACGGGUGAAGCCGGGCACUCUGGCGGGACUGCCAUCGACAAGAUGGAGGAAGGUGGGGAUGACGUCAAGUCAUCAUGGCCCUUAUGUCCAGGGCGACACACGUGCUACAAUGGCCGGCACAGCGGGAAGCGAGGCAGUGAUGCCAAGCGGAUCCCUUAAAGCCGGUCUCAGUUCGGAUUGAAGUCUGCAACUCGACUUCAUGAAGCUGGAAUCGCUAGUAAUCGCAGAUCAGCCAAGCUGCGGUGAAUACGUUCCCGGGCCUU
rnacentral:rRNA from 1 species